rnacentral:miRNA from 1 species
AUUGUACAGGUCCCUGUUCAGGUGCCAGAUGCCAGGCUAGCUUUGCAGGUGGGAGAGAGAAGACCAGGAAUUCAUGGCUGAGCUGGGA